CGAUGGGGUAGAGGAGCGGAUUUUAAGAGUACUUUUUCAGAGAGUGACGUCUGUGAAGAAAAAGGAAAGGAACUUCCGCCGAAGCAAAAAAUGACGGUCUGUUCAUUUUUGCUGGGUUUACACUAAAUAAGUGUAAAACUGUCACUGCGAGGGUAACUACGCAGUGGAGGACUACUGAUCGA
rnacentral:ncRNA from 2 species